GGGGCUGUAGCUCAGUGGUAAAGUGCUCGCCUAGCACGUGUGAGGCACUGGGCUCGAUCCUCAGCACCACA
rnacentral:tRNA from 1 species